rnacentral:rRNA from 1 species
UACGGAGGGUGCGAGCGUUGUCCGGAAUCACUGGGAGUAAAGGGCGCGUAGGCGGCCUGAUAAGUAGGGGGUGAAAUCCUGCGGCUUAACCGCAGGGCUGCCUUCUAAACUGUCAGGCUAGAGCACAGUAGAGGCAGGUGGAAUUCCCGGUGUAGCGGUGGAAUGCGUAGAGAUCGGGAAGAACAUCAGUGGCGAAAGCGCUCUACUGGGCCUGCACUGACACUGAGGGACGAAAGCUAGGGGAGCGAAAGGG